GUCAGUGCAUCAGCAAAUCAUUGGUUUGCAAUGGGGAUUCUGACUGUGAUGAAGACAGUGCUGAUGAAGACAGAUGUGAGGACUCAGAAAGGAGACCUUCCUGUGAUAUCGAUAAACCUCCUCCUAACAUAGAACUUACUGGAAAUGGAUUCAAUUCAAAACCAGCUGUUGCCAUAGAUACGAAAGAGCCAUGUGUUUCCCAAAUAUGUUCUUAGAUGGAAAGAAUGUUGGAUUUUCUGAGCCAUUAGUUUUAGUGAUUAUACCAAGCAGGGGAAGCUGGAUAAUGUAUGUUACAAUGAACUCACUGGCCAGUUUAGGAACAGAGUCAUCAAUACCAAAAGUUUUGGUGGUCAAUGUAGAAAGGUGUUUAGUGGGGAUGGAAAAGAUUUCUACAGGCUGAGUGGAAAUGUCCUGUCCUAUACAUUCCAGGUGAAAAUAAAUAAUGAUUUUAAUUAUGAAUUUUACAAUAGUACUUGGUCUUAUGUAAAACAUACGUCGACAGAACACACAUCAUCUAGUCGGAAGCGCUCCUUUUUUAGAUCUUCAUCAUCUUCUUCACGCAGUUAUACUUCACAUACCAAUGAAAUCCAUA
rnacentral:lncRNA from 1 species